AACGAACGCUGGCGGCAUGCCUAACACAUGCAAGUCGAACGAGACCAUCGGGUCUUGUGGCGCCCGGGUGCGUAACGCGUGGGAACCUGCACUUAGGUUUGGCAUAACUCUCCGACAGGGGUGCUAAUACCGGAUAAUGUCUUCGGACCAAAGAUUUAUUGCCUUUGGAUGGGCCCGCGUUGAAUUAGCUAGUUGGGAGGGUAAAAGCCUACCAAGGCGACGAUCCAUAGCUGGUCUGAGAGGAUGAUCAGCCACACUGGGACUGAGACACGGCCCAGACUCCUACGGGAGGCAGCAGUGGGGAAUAUUGGACAAUGGGCGAAAGCCUGAUCCAGCAAUGCCGCGUGAGUGAUGAAGGCCUUAGGGUUGUAAAGCUCUUUUACCCGGGAUGAUAAUGACAGUACCGGGAGAAUAAGCUCCGGCUAACUCCGUG
rnacentral:rRNA from 1 species